GUACAGUGUAGACAUGGCUUUACAUAAAUAUUUCGAAAUCAGAAAUAGUUCUUCUACAUUCAAACUGCUCAAAAGUCAUAAUGGUAAGUCAAAUCGCAACCAUAAUUCAGUAUAUACCCAACUUUCCUAUCGAAAACACAAAAAUCUAAGAAAAAAAACGUAUAUUAGUUUUAUAAUAAACUUAAAAAACAUAUAUUUUAAGGAAAAUAUCAGCGUUUGCUGUAACAAGUUCUUCUGUGCUAGUGAAGGUUAUUCGUUCAUUUCCCUACGAAAAUGUGUUGCGGAGGCUGCUGUGGAGGAUGCUGCGGUUGCGGCUGCCCCAAGAUCACCAUCUACACAUGCUGCACCAAGAUCUGCUGAGCCGUCGGGAUGGACCUGCUACCCUGGCGGUGGCAGCGACGGCGCUGCCGACCUAGCAGAUUGUGUGCUAUUUUGAAUGUGCCGUCUCUAGUGCUGUAAUAAAGUGAAUUUGAAACGUG